CACUAUGCCCGUAUUGGGUCUGCCUUCUAAUCUCUGCUUUCAUUCACGGUGGUUCUAUCUAUCUCUCUUGACCGCCAGAGUCAGUCCUGGGAGUGGUGUGAGGCUCGGACAGUUGUAAGACGUGUUGUGUGGGCUGAAUUAGCUGUUGUACAAUUCCUGUCUAUCUCAUUGAAUACAGCUUUCAGCGGCCCCUCGUGCCAAGUUUGAGUCCAAUUAAACUACAAUGAAAGCCCUGAAGAUGGCUGCCUGCAGGGAAGAAUCCUAACGCGACCCGAGAUAUCGGAAAGCGUUUCUGACCACACAAAUGGAAAAGGCUCAAGAAUAGCAAAACUGACUCUACAACAGAAAUAAGUCUUCUCCAUCCACUGAAUCUUUCAGCUGAGCCCGGAGUAAGAUCUGAAAAGAGGAAGAGUUACAAGUGGAAAUUUUGCAGUCUGGUUGGGUGAAGGUCAACAUUCACCCAGUACAUUUUUUUGAUCAUCCCACCAUCACUAUCCUUAACUCUCAAGGCACAAGAAACGGUCACAUUAUCGAGCUGGAAGAGAAAUAAGGAACAAAAGAAAUUAUUCAUGGAGUUACAAUGCAAAGAAGUCUAUUUUAAAAAUAAACAGAACUGAGUUUUUGGAGGCUCUGAAUAAAAGAUAAGUUGACUGCACACAGAAUGUCAAAAUGGAGGGGAAGGAAGGUGUUUUUCCCCCCAACACUUUUUUUUCUGUACUGAAGCACGACACAAAGAAAAAAAAAAAAACUAAUUAUAGUUUUAAAUGUCCAAAACGCCAUGUCCACCAAAAGCCCGAUGCUCAUUAGUACUAGUAAUUAACUUUACAACUGUCAACACAAACAGCACACAGGCUGACAGAUAGAGAGUAGCUCGGAGGGUGCUAAUAAAUCCGGAAAUAACAACUUGACAUACAGAUGCACAAAAGGAUGCAGGUGAUAAAGAAAUGUUGACAUCAAAUCUAAUUAUCUUCGAAACGGCCAAGUACAGCACGAGCCACAGUUAUUGCUGGUGAUGAGCCCCACCGGAACGGCGCUUAACCACUGCCUGCAACCCAGCUUUUACAGCCCUUGUCAGAGCUGGUGAGGACAAUAUCAAACAGGAAAUUAUGAGUGCCAUGACCCCUCCAAGUCAAAAAUCCAGUGAUGAAUAUGGGCUCAGCAAGGCAUAGCAGAUUACCCCCUCACGAGUUCUAAAGCUGGGAUGAUAUAUGACAUUUUUAUCAGGCACUUUCUCAGGAAUGUCACCAAGAGGGAAAAUAAAGGCCCAUGCGCAGAGACUAGGUGAAUUAUGCAACUGUAAUUGCCGAUCAUAACCUGAUAUGAGUUGAAAUUGCUCUGUUUUCAUAUUGAGAUAGCAUAAAAUUGUCGGGAAAUGCAAUGGCUCCUUAAUGUGGGCUAGAUGAGUCUAAUAUUCUGAUCAUUUUUCACUCGGCUUGCAAGGUAAAUCGAGCUUCCUUCGCACAGCCACUGUGGCCCAGGGCAAUCGAGGGGCCCAAUUUUACACUUGAAUUGAGCAAAUAUGUGUAAACCACGAUUUUUCAUAUUUUCUGCAUGCAUAAGAAGAUGAAACAUCUUUAUCAUCUGUAUUGUCUGGCUGAGCUUAUACAAAAUAUUAGUUUAUCUGUCCUACUUUGGUUCAUUCCAUAAGCGAGACACAUAGAUCUGAAGGAAGGCAAUAUCCCCCCCAUAUAUAAAACAAGUCCAUCUUUUAUGCAGUGUCACCGCACAAGUUUUCCUAUUUGGAGCCAACGCCACCACCACAAAAGUCGACACAGUGGCAGUGCCACAAAGGAAGACAUUUUUUCGAGGGGAGGAGAGGAGGCCAAUCCAGGCGCUAAACGCAGCCAACUGUUCCGUCAUUCUCCUGUUUGCGCACGGGAGCUGGGGGAAAGCCAAAUAAUCCCUGAUGUCUCUGCUAGACUGUCUCCCUUUUCCCACUUAAAUCAGUUACACCGGCAAGAGGCCGGUAUCAGCAUUUUAUUGCUUUCCCGCUGCGGCCUGCGGCAAACGGAAAAACAACGUGUUGGCUUUCUUCCUCCUUGGAGUCAGCUCUAAACCUGGGAGCAUCGUGACAGUGUUAUUGGGGCUCUUGGGUGCCUGGUCCCAUUCCUUCUGGUUCCUGAGCCCCGUCCCCUAAAGGGUGGAGGACCCAGGCCCAAGCAGAGAUGCUUCUUUGUUACAAAGCGGAUUCUUCCCUCCGUCACUUCUGCUUCUCAUCCCCGGGGCCUAGGCAGCCACACAAGGCCACCUGUGUCCGGGGCAAGCUCUUGUUCAGCCUGGAGUCUAGCCUAGAGGAUGAGGUCCUGCAAAUAGGUCUGUUAAUGAAUCAGUCUCUGCACACGCCAUGAUAGCAGGGUCCCUCUGAAGAUGGGUUCCUUCCACUGUGAUUCGUGACUGACCGUCAAUAUGUAUUAGCGCUUUACUGGCUGGCGUCUUUAUCUUCUCGACAUUCCUAGAAGCAUUCCAACGCUAGGCCUAAGACAUGACUCAUCCCCCAGCCAUAUUCAGCCUCAAGCCAGAGUGAAACCUGCAUUUAUGCAGCCAGCAAGUAUACACAGCAUUAAAAUAAUCUCGCGAGUUUUUUUGUUCUUUUGGAGACAAUCAAUCAGUUGGUUUUUAAUCAAAGGACCCCUAGAUAAUAGGGUUGAUGCUAACAGAGAGGCUGCAGAGAAAUAAAGAAAAGCGACACACUAAAAAGAGCCACUCAAAUGGGAGUCAAAUUCAGCAAUGGGAUGCUCAUAGCCCAGGGCCAAGAACUUGAGAUCACCUUGCCUCCUCUAAUGGCCAACCAGUUCCAUAAUGAGUCAAUGCAAUAUGGGGCAGUGCUGAAUAAAGUGUGCUAGAACUGUCUGAAACUAAACGAAGCUAAGGUACAGUUAGAGAAAAAAGUGUUUUCUGUGACAUACAUAUAUAUACUGGGAUGCCAGGAGGCUGUGUAAAAGACUACUUUCUCAGUUUUAGGGCCCCCUCCCCACAUUCUGGCUCCCUCCCUUGCACGCCCACUGCACAUACGUGAAUGGCCCUUGAGCACUCUAAGUUCUUCAGAGGCAGGGACCUUGCCUUAUUUGUCCUGGUAUCCCCAGCAUCUAGCAUAGUCCUUGGCAGAGCUGACAUUCAACAAAUACCUACUGAAUAAAGUGAUGCUUAUGGUAAUCAGCCAUUACACUCGUCAUUUAUUGCUGUGCCAUGAGUUACCCUCCAAAUUAAGAACUUAAAACCAUGAGCGUUAUUAUCUAGCAGUUUCUGGGGCUCAUGAAUUUGGGAGUUGGGUGGCUCUUGGAAGGACACAAGUAACCUAUCAGUUGGUGCUGCAGUCAUCUGAGGCUGGGAGAUAUACUUCUAAGGUCACUGGUGUGGCUGUUGGCUGAAGGCCUCAGUGGCUUACCAUGAGGCUUUUGGCACAGAACUGCUCACAACAUGGCAACUGGCUUCCCUCGGAGUAAGUGUUCCAGAAAGAAAGAGAUUGCAAGUAGCCACACUGCCUUUCAUGAACUAAUUCCCACCCCCCCCCCCCCACCUUGGUAUGUCCAUCAGAAGCAAGUCACCAAGUCUAGCCCAUAUUGAAAGGGAGGCUGUGAAUUUCAGGGGGGUAGGGAUCACUGGGGACCAUCCCGGAGGCUAGUUGCCACAGCUAGUUCUAAGGGAACAAAUUCAACCAACAAUGACUGAGUUCCCGCUAUGGAACAGAACCUGCUCUGAGUACCAGGGAUGCAAUGGUCUGUGGAAAGCAAGGUAUGUGGCCCCUGAAGGUGGGGGUUACACGACUAGAGUAUGAGGGCUCGGGGCGGGAACGCAGGAACACAGAGCACUCCUAGCUUAAGAUACCUAAACUGGAACCGUAGGCCAUUAGACAGAAUUGUUAUUAUACGUGCCAUUAUUAUGCACCAGCCACCAUUUUUGGCUUUUCCCCAAAUAAUUAUACAUUGUCCCGAAAAUACAGUGCUCUGUUGUGACGGUGAGCCCUUUAUAGGUACGAGGCAAGAAUCAGGGGUGGUUAUCAGCUUCCUUUCUCCAACGAGGAACUCUGGGCCAGGAGGGCAAAGACUUUCUUGACUGCCACCUUCAUUCUUCAGGCAGAAAACAAGUCAGAGGUGGAGACAGAAAAUCUGUUUUCUGGGCCCUGAAGAUACCCUUCUAAUCACUAAAUAAUGGGAACCUGAAUUAUGCCCAUAAAUGACCUGAGCCAAACUAACCCAAAACAGAACCUUCCGGAGUAAUUUAUUUGCUAUUUUGUAUUUUCCUAAGUUUUGUUUUUAAAGUAGUGGAAGAUGGGAGCAUCAGUUUUUCUGCUUCUGUGUUUCUUGUUUUGUUUUUUUUAAUCCCAAGAAUCGACUCUUCUCUUCCUAGGGGAUCUUUAUUGAAUUGCAACACACUCGAUAUUAUUAAGAAUUCUGAUCAGAGGUAAACAUGCAAAACACUCAGCCAAGGGGAUUAAGACUCUUUGUUAGUGUUUACGUUAUCUGUUUUUAAUUCCUAUAUAUCCUUUCUUUAUCUCAGUGUUUCAACACUAAUUGCAAAACAGCCCUCACUAACGGUAAUGAGUCCCUGGACCUUUGCAGACCUCCAGACAGAGCUCGGUGCAUAGAUAAGGCAGCCCCUUAACAAGGCUCAGUAUCUGGAUCAAGGUCUUUUACUGCUUUUCCACUUUCUUUUGCUCAUCUGGGCUUCCAGAGGCUAAACCAGCUCACUAAAUCAUGGAGUUCAGGGUGAUAUCUUAGUCAGCGGAGAGUCUAAACUCAGCUGAAUCUAUUGAAAUGGAUAUGCUGUUCCCGGCUUGUUCAAGAUGCUUCCUUACUUGAAAUGGAGCAAGGCUGAACAUCAGUAUAUAUAAGAGCGCCCAUUCUACUCGGUUCCGCAAGCAGGGCUUCAUGAAAACUGGGCCCUGUCCUCCAAUUAAUCCUGGUUCACUGGUAUGAACUGACUAACACUAAAUUAGGCUUGUUCUACAGGAUUUCAACCAUCAGACCCAACUCUGUUCUCCAUCUUUUCCUUCCCUGAACGUUCAUGCCACGUUUCGGGUAAUGUUCCCUGAGUUUUGCCUGCGUGGGAAUCAUAGUCAGGUGUCAAAGAAAGAGAACGAGCUCUUCUAUCAGCGGGGUUGGUUCAAUUGCCACUUACUUUAUUUAGUGAGAGAGAAGGUACAUUCUGUCUUCUCUUUCCCUUAUCCCCAAUUUUCCACUCAGCCGUCUCUAUGAUUACAAAUAUCUUUUACUCUUUUUUCAUUACCGACUCACCUCCACAUUGAAAUGGUUACCUAUUUCAUCUUCCUGUCUGGUCUCUUCCUGUAGCCCCCUUCCAGGGACUUAAUUCAGAGACUGUUGCUAAGCAACUAUACAUCAUAGCAGCCACUCGCCGAUCACUAAUUGUCCUCAGCACUUUAGCCUUACAAAUACGGACAGCCUGCAACAAUGGCCAGGAGUUUCCGUGGCCAAAAACACACCCAGAGGUUUCUUAGCCCAGUAUGGACAAAGGCACCAAUGACCAGGUACCGCCGUCACAGCAGUCACCAAGACCUCCGGUCCGAUGCCUACCAAACUGCACCGUUGUAAACCCAUCAGCCGGGCACCGUUCUCCGGUCGUGCUCAGGAAAUGAAACUGGAGGUGAGGCUGGAAAUAUCUGAACACACGCACUGAUGAAAAUGUGGACGCCGACAUUUCACACACAUUCACCUUCCUCCCCGCUGGCCACCCCAUUUCUAUCGUCUCUGGUUGAAUGGAGGAUCUAUUAGUAAUCAAAUUUCAGCCUCAAUUUUAUGGUGAGUGUAAUGGAGUUAAUUUCUCUAAUGCUAGCAGUUCAUGGAAAAGGUCUCUUGUGGUAGCACGGGCCUGGGAUCCGCAGCAGCUGUCAAAGAUGCCGCUAAGGAAUUCUUUAUUAGCUAAGAUGCAACCAGGCAGAAAACUCAUUACACAGUGCUAAAUAUACUUAAUCACAUCUAUUAGAGAAAAAUGAACUUGAUAAUUACAACAAAUAACUAAACUGUAGAAAGUGUUCAAGGGAAAAAAAAAAAAAAAAAAAAAACAAACCAGCAACCCACACCAGGAUCUAAGUAUACAGGGAAUGUGAGCCGCUCAAGAGUCAAGACGAACUAAGAACGUGAGGCUUUGUGCGGAAGGAGAAGCCCAGUCUCCAGGUAGGUGGAGCUGAUUUAAGUUGCUCAAGAAAAUGACACAUUUACAUUUCAAAAGUGCCCUUGUUUAUUUAGUAUAUGUAAAAUUUUAAUUAGAAAGGAAUCCUCAGAGGGUAGAUGCUUUGU